AAUGAAGCCAAAUAUUCAAUGACUUUGCCCAUCUGUAUAAACAAGAAAAAAAAAGAAUUGCCCGGCCACGUGUCUCAAGGUGUCAGGGAGAAAGGUAAAGGAGAAGAGGAGUCAUAACUGGUGUUGAGGGGGAAAUUGGAAUUGACCCUACUGCAUCCUUGGUUGUAAGGACAACUUUUAGAGUAGAAAGUAAAAAGAAGUUCAGAUUGUCCUCCAUAAAGGGAAUCCACUCAUGUCUGGCUAAAAGAAGAGGGAAGGGCAAUUUGUUCUCAAUGAACUCUUUCAUGAGACAGUGCCAGCCACUUUAAUGGAGGCUGUGAUUUAGAAAUGGGGGGAGAUAUUGCUGCCUUGUAGUGAAUGCACAAAUACAUGGGCUUUUCCAACACUGCCAGAACAAUGCAGGCUUCUGUAGGUUCCCAGCUAAUGCACACUCCCUCAUGCAUUUUCUGGCUUGGCUAUAAACUCUUUGGUCAAGUGUUGGGGGACAGGGCUUUGCACAACAGAGCAGUUAGAAUUUUAUCUUUUCUCCAUGUGACCUACAAGGAGCCUUCAGGAGAAGUGCUGGGCAUGGUCCAUUCUGAAGUCAGCUCUGUUCUUGCACUGACACCAGAAGGUCUCUGCAGAGAACUCCAAAAAGUACUGAAGGAAAUCUCUGUUGGACAACUAAAUCCAAAUGAGACUGUGCAGGCCAAUUUGGAAGCCCAGCUACUCUCCAAGUUGGACCACCCAACUAUUGUCAAGUUCCAUGCAAGCUUUGUGGAGCAAGAUAAUUUCUGCAUUAUUACAGAGUACUGUGAGAAAGCUUCGCUAGAGUCCUGCUGGAUGGAAAUGAAAACCGAGAGUGGAAAAAUAUAUACAGUCAUUCCUUGUUAUACGUGGGGGAUUGGUUCCAGGACCCUUUGUAUGUACCCAAAUCAACUCAUACUCAAGUUCCACAGUCGGCCCUGCAGAAUUCUCAUAUAUAUAGACAAAGGCCGAGAUCUGGACUGUAAAAUUCAGGAAUACAAAGAAGCUGGAAAAAUCUUUCCAGAAAAUCAAAUAAUAGAAUGGUUUAUCCAGCUGCUGCUGGGAGUUGACUACAUGCAUGAAAGGAGGAUACUUCAUCGUGACUUGAAAUCAAAGAAUAUAUUUCUGAAAAGCAAUCUACUUAAAAUUGGGGAUUUUGGAGUUUCUCGACUGCUAAUGGGAUCCUGCGACCUGGCCACAACUUUAACUGGAACUCCCCAUUACAUGAGUCCUGAGGCUCUGAAACACCAAGGAUAUGACACAAAGUCGGACAUCUGGUCACUGGCAUGCAUUUUAUACGAGAUGUGCUGCAUGAAUCAUGCUUUCACUGGCUCCAGUUUCUUGUCCAUUGUUUUAAAAAUUGUAGAAGGCGACACACCUUCUCUCCCAGAGAGAUAUCCAAGAGAACUAAAUGCCAUUAUGGAAAGCAUGUUGAACAAGAGUCCUUCAUUGAGACCAUCUGCUCUUGAAAUUUUAAAAAUUCCUUACAUUGAUGAACAGCUACAGCACCUGAUGUGUAGAUAUUCAGAAAUGACUCUGGAAGAUAAGAAUUUGAAUUGUCAGAAGGAGUCUGCUCAUAUAAUUAAUGCCAUGCAAAAAAAGAUCCACCUACACACUCUCAGGGUGCUGUCUGAAGUGCAGAAAAUGACGCCAAGAGAAAGGAUGCGGCUGAGGAAGCUCCAGGCAGCUGAUGAGAAAGCAAGGAAGCUGAAAAAGAUUGUGGAAGAAAAAUAUGAAGAGAAUAACAAGCGAAUGCAAGAAUUGAGAUCUCGGAACUUUCAGCAGCUGAGUGUUGAUGUACUCCAUGAAUUCGAUGAACCAACUUCAGAGAACCUGCCUAAGUCUCAGCCUGUUCCUUUCCUGAACCUCAGUGAACUUGAGUCAAGUGUAGAGGACACUACAGCUGACCUUGGACAUCAUGAGAUCCCAGAAGACCCACUUGUGGCUGAAGAAUAUUAUGCUGAUGUGUUUGAUUCCUGUACUGAAGAGAGUGAGGAGGAGGAAGAAGAAAUAGUGUUCUCAGCAUCAGAGGGAGAGGUCAAGGAUGGGGGACCCCAGCCUCCUUACAGAACAAACCAACAGGACAGUGAUAUCGAAGCAUUGGCCAGGUGUUUGGAAAACGUCCUGGGCUGUACCUCUCUAGAAACAAGGACCAUCACCAGUGCAGCCGCAGACGUAUCUCCAGGACCAACAGUUCUCAACAGCGUGAUGGCUGGGACCAAGAUGAAACACAUGAGGGAAUCAGCCAUACAGAAGCUGGGGACAGAAGUAUUUGAAGAGGUCUAUAAUUACCUCAAGAGAGCCAGGCAUCAGAAGGCCAGUGAAGCAGAGAUCCGGGAGUGUCUGGAGAAAGUGGUGCCUCGGGCCAGCGACUGUUUUGAAGUAGACCAGCUCCUCUACUUUGAGGAGCAGUUGCUGAUCACAAUGGGGACAGGGUCGACUCUCCAGAGCCAUCACUAAGCAACUGUCAGAAACAAACAGAAGUUCAAGUGGACAACUUUCUGUGAAAAUCCAUUAAACAUAUGUUUUCCAGAUUCUGCAUUCCAGGGGUCUGCUGACACCAGCCAGUCUCAAAACUUCCUCCAAGGAGCCCACUCAGCACAGGAAUCCAGUUUCUUCAUCUCCCUAUCCCAUGACGUCACCCCUCACUUUUUGACCAGUCAGCAACUCCCCAGCUCCUCAGCCCCCUACUCACCAAAAUUCCCUUAAAAUCCCAGUCCAAAACUCCUCAGGGAGGCAGAAUUGAGGUUCUCUCCCACCUCCUCAGCUGGCUGCUGUUGGAUUAUAAAACUUUCUCUGCCGCAACUCCUGCUGUUUUGGUGUAUUGGUCUGUUACCACACAACCGCCACAAAACUGGUGGUCUUAUAUCAUGACCACUGGGCUCUAAGUCUCUGUGUAUCCUGUGGCUUUACUUCUAUCUCUGCCCAGUGACCAAAGGAACCGCCACCCAAGUGAAUGCACAAUUUCUCCAGUGCUCAAGAGCUAUGAACAUCAUUCUUCUGUGUUCCCACAGCUCCCUGACACUGUAGAGAAGUAUUGGGGGCAGCACAAAUCUUCACUCUGCCUUUUCCCAAAGCUCAUGAUGCCCAUUCUCACCACCACCACCAUCACCCCACCCUGCACGCUAGGGAAUCAUUCCUGGCUGGGAGACUGGAAGACAGCAGCGUAUCUGUGCUCUCACAGCCCCUGUGUCUAUAGCAGGAAGAGCAGACCCCAAAUAUUGGCUUCUGGAGGUGGGAUCUGAGAUUUUUCAGAAUUGCAAACUUGAGCAUGUUUCCCAAGUCAAAAUCUAGGACAUCAAAAAUCAGGUUUGCCCUGGGAAACCCUGGACAGGUGGGGCCUGUGACCACGCUGCUGAGAGUGGACAUGGACAUUUCCAUCAUGUUAACGGGGAAGAGACUUCACCCCAGGAAGAGUUCCCCAAGCCCCCAUGUCCUUUUGGGAUCACCCAGGUUGCAAAUGAGCCUGGAAGAGGGGGAAACCACAGUAGGAUCCAAGUUAAUAAAAAUUUCUGAAUCUCCUUACUGAUGGUUUUUAUAUCAUUAGAACAGAAGAAAAUUUGUGGGAGUUGCUGAGUCUGAAGAAGAAAUAGCUAUAUUUUCAAAUAGUUUCUUUCACAAACAGAUUAACAUGCCCAGGGGAAAAUACCCUACAUUUCAGAAUAUGUUUCUAAAAAGACAGGUGGAGACUGAAAUCAUCCUACCCUCCAGGGAUUUGUGCUAUACAGCACCCCAGGCUUAAAAGAAAACAGAGCUAGGAAGAAAUAUUAAAAUAGCAUUUUGGAUCACAGCUCCAUGCCU